GUCUGGAAGGAGGGAAUUUGCCUCAGAGCAGGGUAAACCCUAGUCAGUCGCAUAAGAUUUUAGUUGGAAUUUGCGGGCUCCAGGCCUACUAGUGGGAAAAGCAUAUUUUUAGAGUGCUUCCGCCCCGCCCACGGCUGGGGGCUGGGACUACAAGUCCCGCCCCGCGGGAAUCCAAGAGUGGGGGCUGGUUAGGGCGGCGGUGGGAUGGAGAGGCAUGCUGGGAACUGUAGUGUCACCUCCGCGUUCACAGCAGGUAUGUCUUCAUCUUACCAGUGGUUUGGUGACUGUUGACGGCGGUUACACCUUGCCAUUUUAGGGAAUGGCUAAGACCAAGAGAAAUGAAACGUUUCUUGAGUGAAAGGACUUUGCAAAUCCGUCGAAACCCUGACGAGUGAGCACCUGAGAUUUGGAGUUCAUCCUAAUACCUACCACGCAGGAGCUCAUGUUCAGUGGAGACAUUAAUGAGAAAUAAGUCUAAAAGACAGGAAGCAGAAGAGACAUGGGUAAAUCUUCAACCUGGAUUCUCAGAUUGGGAACAAAGGAGAGCACGGUGGAGCGGACCUGAAUUUUGAGUUGAAACAGACCGGUCUUCUGGCUGCGUGGCCUUAAGCAACUUUCUUCGUUUCUCAGAAUGUCUUCCUUCAUCUGUGAAGUGGGGUAAUACAUUUCUUACAGGGCUGUUGUGAGAAUGCGGAAACAUGUAAAACAUUGCAGGUGUCCAAAUGUCAGUUCCCUUCCCUUACUGACGAGGAGUAGCCGCCAUUUUAUGAAAGGACUUAUCAGUAUGACUUCGAUUCUGAAGCAAAUGGUGGUUUUAUGAUUCGGAAAAAGAUGUACAGAAGGUUGAAACAAGACCAUCAGGAUCUUUUUUAUUCAAGAGGAUGAAACAGUUUUCACUUAAACCUUCAAGACUCAAAAAUAAGAAUGAAUCUUAGGUGCUUUAAUCUGAAUUUUGCACCAAUGAAGGAGAUCGAACGUUUUCAUGAGUGUUUUUCACGUCCGUGAACAGAAAGUCCUCCAUUUCGUACAUCUGGGAAGUUUUCAGUUCUCACGGAACCUAUGUCCUGAACAUCGUCAGUUGCAACCUCUUUCCCAUGUCUUCACUGUGACUGCAUAGACUCACACCGUUAUUCUUACCUGACAACGGCAGCAGCUCCCAGCUGCUCUUCCAGGUUUCAGUAUUGAUUCUCCAUCCUGUCAACAAGCUGACCUUCUCAAACAUGAGUCUGAUCACAAUCCUCCUCUUUUAACAAGCCAUAGGUGAAUUUCCCUUAACUUGAAAAUAAAAUGUAAACCCUUAGUGUGACUUAAAAGAUCCAUUGUGAUCUGCCCCUCUGUUCAGCCUCACCUGCCAGCACUCUUUUCCGCUCUCCAGCUUCAUUUCUUGGUCAUGCUGAACCAUAUUUUAGUUUCCUAAAUUCACCUUGUUUCUCAUUACUCUUCACUGCACAUACUGCUCCUCUUGCUUGGAAUGACUUUUCUCCUGUCUUUAUCUGGGAAGCUCUUACUAUCCAUUAAGAUUCAGCCACCAUCUCCUUUUUUCAACUUUAAUCACUCUUUCGGGUUGGGUGUUACACCAGUGUGUUCCCGUGCAUGCCCUAUCGCAUGACUCAUUUUACUCUAAAUUGCACUUCAGGGACACCUGGGUGGCUCAGUCAGUUAAGCGUCUGCCUUCGACUC